UACGAAGGGGGCUAGCGUUGCUCGGAAUCACUGGGCGUAAAGCGCACGUAGGCGGCUUUCUAAGUCAGGGGUGAAAUCCCGGGGCUCAACUCCGGAAUUGCCUUUAAGACUGCAUCGCUAGAAUUGUGGAGAGGUAAGUGGAAUUCCGAGUGUAGAGGUGAAAUUCGUAGAUAUUCGGAAGAACACCAGUGGCGAAGGCGACUUACUGGACACAUAUUGACGCUGAGGUGCGAAAGCGUGGGGAGCAAACAGG
rnacentral:rRNA from 1 species